rnacentral:rRNA from 1 species
UACGUAGGGUGCGAGCGUUAAUCGGAAUUACUGGGCGUAAAGCGUGCGCAGGCGGUUGAUUAAGUCUGAUGUGAAAGCCCCCGGCUCAACUGGGGAGGGUCAUUCGAUACUGAUCGACUCGAAGGCAGGAGAGGGAAGCGGAAUUCCCGGUGUAGCGGUGAAAUGCGCAGAUAUCGGGAAGAACACCCGUGGCGAAGGCGGUUCUCUGGGACGGUACUGACGCUGAGACGCGAAAGCGUGGGGAGCGAACAGG